AUCUGGUGAUAAGGCCAAGCCUCCAGAAACUUCUUAAAUCUCUCCCAGUAUUCAUAUAAAGUCUCCCUAUCUCGCUGAACAAUGCAAGAGAUCUUUCUUCGCAGCUU